rnacentral:tRNA from 3 species
GCGGAUAUGGCGAAAUUGGUAGACGUGCCAGGUUUAGGUUCUGGUGCCGCAAGGCGUGUGGGUUCGAGUCCCUCUAUCCGCA